GCGUCGUCUUCAGAGUUUGAUCCUGGCUCAGGAUGAACGCUGACAGAAUGCUUAACACAUGCAAGUCGACUCGAGUCUUCGGACUUGGGUGGCGCACGGGUGAGUAACGCGUAAAGAACUUGCCUCUUAGACCGGGACAACAUUUGGAAACGGAUGCUAAUACCGGAUAUUAUGGUUUCUUGCAUGAAGAAGCAAUUAAAACUCAGGUGGUGUAAGAUGGGCUCGCGUCUGAUUAGCUAGUUGGUGAGGUAACGGCCCACCAAGGCGACGAUCAGUAGCCGGCUUGAGAGAGUGAACGGCCACACUGGAACUGAGACACGGUCCAG
rnacentral:rRNA from 1 species